ensembl:lncRNA
GAGAAUCUCUUCCUUGGGGAUCAGUUUAUUGCACCAGGAAGGCCUGUGUGGGAGAGUCGGGUGGCUUCCAAGCAGGGCUGAGCUCUGGCAUCCAGCUUGGCUUCCAGGGGGCUCCUCCAGGCUCCUCCCUGCAAACACAAGAGGGGUCAGGGCCUCGGGGGAGCUCCUGAGGUGGGCAGAGUCCUUGCCAAUACCCCAUCCCCAGCCUGGCCUGGCUCAUGGGAGACUAGAUUGAAUCCUGCAGUGACUGAGCCUGGGGGAGGCUGGUGCCUUGACCCUACUAGGGGAACAUUUGUGCUCUUACUGCCCAUGUCCUCAGUGUCUGCAAAGGGACCACCUCCCUGGGAGACCAGACUCCUAAGCUGGGGGAACAGGCAGACGCUCUCCUGAGAGCUGAGCACCCCCGCCCCCAUCAGCCCAUCGCUUUGCUUCCUCACCCGCCCCCACCUUUGCUUGGCUGGCUCCUUCUCAGUACUGGGGGCCCUCUUUGCCACCAGGUGGGGCCCGGAUGCUGGUCACGGUCAGUGCCGUGCUGUAGAAGAGGCUCAGCAGGAAGAGAGUGAGCAGGGUGACUGUGGUGGGCCACAGGCUGGCUCCUGGGGUGUCCUCCUCCAGGUCCUCCUGUGGCGGGUCCAGCACCACCCAGGGAGGUGGCUCCCGGUAACCUGCAAGACACUGAGAGCCUGUCAGGCCUGCGCCUGCAUGGGUGGGGGCCAAGCCAAUGCUCUCCCCUCUCAGCACACUUGGGGUCAGGACAGAGGCAGUAGGGGUGCCCUAUCUCAGGUCUGAGGCUUCCUCAGGGAGGGCGAGGUGGCUGCAACCUUUGCAGCUCUUGAGAUGCCCACAGAACCCCUGUUUCUGAGGGUCUCAGGGCAACUUCUGGGGAGAUACCUGGCAGGGCAGAAGGGUGGGCACUGUCUUUGCUACUCCAAAGAGAGCUCAAGCCCAAGGCCUCCUGGAUCCCCAGCCCUAUCUGUAUUCUCAGCAAGCCCUUGCUCUUUGGCUGGCCUUGGCCUGGGCCCUGAGUGGGGCCAGAGAGGAACAGAUAUGCCCAUACCCAUGGUUGCUCUGAGUUGGGCCAUAGAUCUGGGUCUGUGAUUCAGUGUGCCAAAUGCUGGAUGGGCAUGACCAGGGUCCUCUCUUCUCUCCCAGGGAAUGUAGCUGAUAAGCUACAAGGAGUAUAAGGGAGGCCCAGGUGAAGGCCACCAGCACAGGCAGUCCUGCUGUCCUCAGGGUCCCAGGGCAUAGACCUCCCAUGUUACAGUGGGAUUUGGACCUGCUUGUCAUAUGCUGACACAUCCAAUCAUUCAUCCAUUUGCCCAUCCAUCCAUCCCUCCAUCUAUCCUUCCAUCCGUCCAUCAGUCCAUCCAUCUGUCUACCCAUCCACCCACCCAUCCAUCCAUCCACCCAUCCACCCACCCACCCAUCCAUCCAUCCACCCACCCACCCACCCACCCAUCCAUCCAUCCAUCCGUCCAUCCAUCCGUCCAUCCUUCCAUCUGUCCAUCCAUCCACCUGUUCAUCCAUCCAUCUAUCCAACCAUCCAUCCAUCUAUCCAUCCUUCCCUCUGUCUAUCCAUCCACCCGUCCAUCCAUCCAUCCAUCCAUCCAUCCACCCGACCAUCCAUCCAUCCACCUGUCUGCCCAUCUUCCCAUCUGUUAUAUAUCCUAUGAUCCAUCCACCUGUCUGCCUGCUGUCCAUCUGUUGGCUCAGUCCCUCAUCUAUUGAUUCUUCUGCCUUCCUUGUCUCUUUAGAAAGCUCCUCCUUUGUGCAGGUUCUGGGUCCCUUAGUGUCUGGAGCACCUGCUCUAUGGCAGCUCUUCUCCAAUUACCCCAUUGCUCCCUCUAUUGCCCUUUGGUGACUGGACCUGAGAGGGGAGCAGUGGCCAGGGUGGAGAGGGAUCUCCAUCUCACCCAGGCCUUGGGAGCAGAGGGAGGCAGCCAGAAGGCUGGGUUCCCUGGGGAGGCCCAGAAGGUCUGAGCCAAGAGCAGGGGCCCCGCUGCCCCCUUGUGGGAGCCCUGGUGCCAGGUGUCCCCACGGCGGUCACGGGGCUGCCUCUCUAUGCUCGUCUCCCCUGGCCUCCUCCUCUCCUGCCAGGAGCCCCAAGCAGAAGCUGCAGCGGGGCCCUGGGUGGGAGGUGUCUUUUCUGACACCUCCCCACCUCUGUCCCUGCUCUGUCUAUGGUUUGGGCCAUACUUGGGCUCAGGAAGGGAGGUGAGACUUGAGCCUGGGGACCAGGCAGGGAGCAGGGACUGCUUGGGAGGGGCCUGUGGAAUUGAUCCCUGAGCUGUGCUCAGCUGGACACACAGGGAGGCCCGAGGCCAGGAGGGGCAUGGGGCAGCAGCGCUGGGCCUGGAGAAAAACCAGUGGGGGCUUGGGUGGGGACUCCCCUUGCCUUCCUGGAGCUGGGCCUGCGCUGUGAACUUCCUGUGCCUGCAGGGCCCUGAUGUGUGUGUGCACUAGUGAGUGUGAGCACGUGGGAGCAUAUGUGUGCAUGUGUGUAUGCACCUGUGGGCACACAUGCAGAGUGGUGUGAUGCGAAUGGGGAAGGCUGUGCCCAGGACGGGGGUGGUGCCCCUUAUGUGUGAGUCAGUGGGGCCGUCCUGCUCUUUUGCACCUUGUACUCAUGAGGGGCGGUGCAGGGGCCCUGAAGUCCAGCCCUCCUUCCCUUACCAUCCCUCCCAUGACUCCCACGAUGGCACCAGCCUCUUCCCAGCCAGCCUGCUCUCCUUUCCCCCUUUCUAGUCCCUCCCACCUGCCCCUAGAGUCAGUUUUCUGAGAUAUGAAGGACCACGUCACCUGCCCAUGGGAACUUCCCAUGGUGCCCACUGCUCUUAGGACCCACGGGCUCGGACAGCCUCGCCUGCCUCUGCCAUCUUCAGGUUUCACCCCCAGCUCAGCUUCAACUACCAUGCAUUACGUGCUCACACUCAUGCUUACACACUCACACAAGUACACCGUGUGAAGGUACGUCGAGGUGCCAGGCCAACAGGGGAAACUGAGGUCCUGAGAGGGUCAGGGCAGCGGGGUGUUCUUUCCUCCCUGGGCCCUGCCACCUCCCUGGCAUGCCGCAGACCCCGAGGACAGACAGACAGGCGGCCAGAUGGAAGCGCGGGCUGCUUUGGGCGAGCAUAGAGUUUAUUCAAGGGUCAGGCGGGGGCAGCUCAGUAGCAGGUGCCGUCCGCCUCCGCCAUGACCACGGACACGUUGACGUGGGUGGGUUUACCCGACAGGCGGUCGAUAGACUUCUGGGUGAAGCUCAGGGGCAGAGCCUCGUGGCCCACCAUGCAGGAGAAGACGUCUCCCCUCUUCCAGGCCUCAGCCUCCACGCGCAGCAGGCUGGUCACGGCAAAGGUGGGCACGCUCUGGCCAGGUUCCCGCAGGGGCUUAAAGACCAGGUACUUCUCGCGGGGCAGCUUCUCGUGCCCUUGCAGCCAGAGCACCAACACCUCCUUAGGGCUGAAGCCCCGCACCAGGCACGUGAGCGUCACCAGCUCGUUGAGGGCCAGCUCCUCCGACGGCGGCGGCAGCACGUGGACCUGGGGCUGGAACAAGGGUUCUGGAGAGAGAAGAGCUGGGUCAGGAGUCUGGGUGGGGAGGAGAGAGCUCCUCUGCCCGCUUGGCACCAUGUGCCUCAGUUUCCCUUUGUAAAAUGUGGGUGGGAGCACACCCACACCAUCUAGGGACUUGGGGGAGGAGGCAGGCUUAGGAAUGUGCCUCGCAAACUGUAGGGUGCUGUGCAGCCCCUGGCUGGCAGCAUCUGAGCCCACCUGUGGGUUUGGUGAUGGAGACAGUUUGUGACUCUUUGAGCUCAGGGUGGCUGGCGGUGCAGGAGAAGGUCUCCUUUUUGCUCCACGGCUCGGCGCAGCCUGGCAGCACGCUGGACACGCUGUAGCAGCCGCUGGGUUCAAGCUUGGGUUCCUGCAGGACAGGGACGUUCCCACUCGAGGGGACUCCAGGUGAAGGCGGCGCCCUUGGGGUCUCUCAGGCCUCUCAGUGUGCAGGUGAGGCUGGCAUUGGAGCUCAGGAGCAGGUCCUCGAUGGCCGGCGGGCUCAGGGACAGGCGCGGCAGGCUGGACACAAGGGGCACUCACAGGGGCAUGGAGGGAGUGGAGGGCGUACUGGAGCUGACAGAGAGGCCGGAGAAGGUCAGCGCCGCCCUCCGCUCACCUACCCUCCCCUCCGUCUGGCUCCAGCCAGGCCCCCCUCCUGGCCCCUCAGCUACCACCCGCUGGGGGCUCAGCCUGGCAGCCCACUCUUGUCUGAGGGGAGACCCAGCGGGGGCACAGCUCCAAGUACUGGGUCAUGGGGAGAAUGUGGUAGCCCCCCGCCCCUCCCCAGCUGCCCUCUGACCUAUGCAGGGCACGUCCACAGACUUGCUGGGGCUGGUGUAAUGCUGUACUUCACACUUCACGGAUGCGUCAUCUGGGCACUGGUUGGCCGGACAGGGACAGCUGGCUGAUCACGGUGUACAGGCCCCCGGCCUCCAAGGGGGGGUAGUUCCUGACCUCCCCGCUCUUGCCCCAGGUCACCUUCACGGGCUCUGGGAAGCCCAGCGGGAAGAAGCCCUGUGAUCAGGCAGGCGAUGACCACAGGGUCACCUGAGUCAGCUUUCUGGAGGCUCAGCGGGAAGAUGCUGGGGCUGGUCACAGAGGCUGCAACACAAGACGUGCUGUGAGACGGCGGGCUCUCGUGCGGCCUGGACCCCUGAGACAGUCCCACAAGGCUGGGACGGUGCCCGCCUCUCCUUUACACCAGAGGAAACUGGCACAGAGAGGGUUAGUGACUGCCCCAAGGUCAGGCAGCUCGUACACCCUGGACCUGGGGUUGGACCCACCCUCCUGAGUCCAGCUGCACUGUUUUUGAACACACUCCUCAGAGUUCUAGCACGUGGACCCAGACACGCUCCUUGGACAGGGCCUCUGGCACAGGCCACUCCCAGCAGAAGUUGUAGUUAUCACACAUGGCUCUCCCACUGCUGCCGGAGCCCCAGCUCCUGUCUGGGUGGCGGCACAGCCAUACCCUCCCCUAGGGCUCAGGGGCGUGAGGGGUUGGGCCCCUGGCAGGGCACAGGUGAUGACAGAGUGCUCUGACUUGAAGCUGAGCCUGUGCUGGAGGUGACUCUGGGGAGGAGAGGGGGCCUGUGCCUUCUGUGCCUUCUCCCAUUUCCCCAGUCCAGGUCCCAGUCCAACCACCCACCACUCUCCUCCCACCCCAGGCCCUAACAAACUCCAAGUCGACCUCUGUGGCCUACAGGAGUUUCGAGGCCAAAGGCCCAAAUCUAAAUCAGUCCUUCUGGGAUGUCCGCCCGGGCAGGCUGGGCUACACAGGGCGUGGUCUGCCCACUUGUACUUUCCGUUCCCAUCAGGGCAACUGGUGAAGGGGGAGAGAGCAUCACGGAUGCACCCUGAGGCUGCCUGACCCAUGGGUCCCCAAGAAACAGGGUCAACAGGCUGGCUGGAGACCAGGACCCUGAGGUGGGGCUCCAUCCCGACCAACCCCUUCCCAUUCACCUCACCCAGCUCAGGCCAGAUCAGCCCACUUCAGCGCAACUUAACCCAGAUCACCUCAGUUCAGCUCACAGGCCAGCAUAGCCCAGCUCAGCUGAGUUCAGCCCAAUUCAGCCCAGUUAGCCCAGCUCAGCCCAGCAAGCCCAGCUCAGCCCAGCCCAGCCCAAUUCAGUUAGCUCAGCCCAGCUCAGCUCAGCCCAGUUAGCCCAGCUCAGCCUAGCUCAGCCCAGCCAGCCAAGCUCAGCUCAGCUCAGUUAGCUCAGCUCAGCCCAGUUCAGCUCAGCUCAACCUGAUUAGCCCAGUUCAGCCCAGCCCAGCCCAGCCCGAUUAGCCCAGUUCAGCCAGCCCAGCUCAGCCCAAUUCAGUCAGCUCAGCCCAGCUCAGCCCAGCCAGCCCAGCUCAGCCCAGCCCAAUUCAGUUAGCUCAGCCCAGCUCAGCUCAGCCUAGACCAGCUCAGCCCACUUCAGUUAGCUCAGCCCAGCUCAGCUCAGCCUAGCCCAGCUCAGCUCACUUCACUCAGCCUAGCCCAGCUCAGCUCAGCCUAGCCCAGCUCAGCCCAGCCCAGCCCAGCCCAGCUCAGCCUAGACCAGCUUAGCCCACUUCAGUUAGCUCAGCCCAGCCCAGC